rnacentral:rRNA from 1 species
CAGUCGCCGCGGGAAUACGUAGGGCGCAAGCGUUAUCCGGAAUUAUUGGGCGUAAAGAGCUCGUAGGCGGUUUGUCGCGUCUGCCGUGAAAGUCCGGGGCUCAACCCCGGAUCUGCGGUGGGUACGGGCAGACUAGAGUGAUGUAGGGGAGACUGGAAUUCCUGUGUAGCGGUGAAAUGCGCAGAUAUCAGGAGGAACACCGAUGGCGAAGGCAGGUCUCUGGGCAUUAACUGACGCUGAGGAGCGAAAGCAUGGGGAGCGAACAGGAUUAGAUACCCGCGUAGUCCCUGUCUCUUAUACA